GAUGAACGCUGGCGGCGUGCCUAAUACAUGCAAGUAGAACGCUGAAGCUUGGUGCUUGCACCGAGCGGAUGAGUUGCGAACGGGUGAGUAACGCGUAGGUAACCUGCCUCUUAGCGGGGGAUAACUAUUGGAAACGAUAGCUAAUACCGCAUAAAAGUCGACAUUGCAUGAUGUUGACUUGAAAGGUGCAAUUGCAUCACUAAGAGAUGGACCUGCGUUGUAUUAGCUAGUUGGUGAGGUAACGGCUCACCAAGGCGACGAUACAUAGCCGACCUGAGAGGGUGAUCGGCCACACUGGGACUGAGACACGGCCCAGACUCCUACGGGAGGCAGCAGUAGGGAAUCUUCGGCAAUGGGGGCAACCCUGACCGAGCAACGCCGCGUGAGUGAAGAAGGUUUUCGGAUCGUAAAGCUCUGUUGUAAGAGAAGAACGAGUGUGAGAGUGGAAAGUUCACACUGUGACG
rnacentral:rRNA from 1 species